rnacentral:rRNA from 1 species
GAUGAACGCUGGCGGCGUGCCUAAUACAUGCAAGUCGAGCGAACAGACGAGGAGCUUGCUCCUCUGACGUUAGCGGCGGACGGGUGAGUAACGCGUGGAUAACCUACCUAUAAGACUGGGAUAACUUCGGGAAACCGGAGCUAAUACCGGAUAAUAUAUUGAACCGCAUGGUUCAAUAGUGAAAGACGGUUUUGCUGUCACUUAUAGAUGGAUCCGCGCCGCAUUAGCUAGUUGGUAAGGUAACGGCUUACCAAGGCAACGAUGCGUAGCCGACCUGAGAGGGUGAUCGGCCACACUGGAACUGCGCCACGGUCCAGACUCCUACGGGAGGCAGCAGUAGGCAAUCUUCCGCAAUGGGCGAAAGCCUGACGGAGCAACGCCGCGUGAGUGAUGAAGGUCUUCGGAUCGUAAAACUCUGUUAUUAGGGAAGAACAAAUGUGUAAGUAACUAUGCACGUCUUGACGGUACCUAAUCAGAAAGCCACGGCUAACUACGUG